GGCUAAGUAGUGAGCUGACACGGCAGAUGAGCAAAGCUUUAAAACAACCUUAGCUAAUCUGUUUAUCUCUGUUUUGUAUGAUUAAACGAGAACAGGCUGCUGUCUUCGAGAGGGAAACUGUGUUAUGAAAUCGACGACAGAAAUCGACGGGAUGAUACGUGCUGAGCGAGGAGAAAAGCAGACUAAUUUCCUGGGAAAAGCAAAGCUGAGUUCUGUUCCCUGAUUGGAUGCACUGCUGGUUUUUCAUAUGAGAGUCACGCGUAAACAUGCACACACACAUCUAGAAAGCACAAGGUAAACCCAUGCAACCUCAAGUCUCUAUUUCCCUCUCCUAGCUACCGGUCUCGAAUGAAGAACUUUUGACAUUGGCGAGUGCUGAGACUUAACAUGGAGUUCAGAGACGGGUUUGCACAACAAACAGAUGUUCUUUGAUGUCAGCUGCAGUGAGGGGGAGGCGAAAAAAAUGGGAACGCUAAAAAGAAGUAGGAGGAAGGUGUCAGAACUCUAAUCACCAGCCAGCGCUCAGAAAGAAAUCUAUUGUAUCUCGUAGCGCAAACACUGGGUUGUAUUCACCAUAACCUUGGCUUUUAUACAAAAUUACAUUUAUUCCAUUCGUUAAACCAUUAAGAAUUUGUGACUGGUAUGUUUGAUGUAGUAUUCAAAGAAUUAAAUAGCAUGGCUUACACCUGUUUUUCCCUUUAUAGAGCACUUGUUGAAAUAUUCAUUGGAGUUUUACUGUAAUAUUAUAAGACUUUUAUGACAUAUAAUAUAAUAAAUGUCAAUGAAGUUACCAUAUAUGCUUGAUAAAAAGUUUAUGAUUUACAAAAUAUUUGGUUUAUGCUGAAAAAUGUGUUAACAUGGUAAAGUAAUA